rnacentral:rRNA from 1 species
AGCAGCCGCCGCGGUAAUACAGAGGGUGCGAGCGUUAAUCGGAUUUACUGGGCGUAAAGCGUGCGUGGGCGGCUUUUUAAGUCGGAUGUGAAAUCCCUGAGCUUAACUUAGGAAUUGCAUUCGAUACUGGGAAGCUAGAGUAUGGGAGAGGAUGGUAGAAUUCCAGGUGUAGCGGUGAAAUGCGUAGAGAUCUGGAGGAAUACCGAUGGCGAAGGCAGCCAUCUGGCCUAAUACUGACGCUGAGGUACGAAAGCAUGGGGAGCAAACAGGAUUAGAUACCCGAGUAGUCCCUGUCUCUUAUAA